rnacentral:rRNA from 1 species
AGCAGUAGCCACGGUAAUACGUAGGUCCCGAGCGUUGUCCGGAUUUAUUGGGCGUAAAGCGAGCGCAGGCGGUUAGAUAAGUCUGAAGUUAAAGGCUGUGGCUUAACCAUAGUACGCUUUGGAAACUGUUUAACUUGAGUGCAAGAGGGGAGAGUGGAAUUCCAUGUGUAGCGGUGAAAUGCGUAGAUAUAUGGAGGAACACCGGUGGCGAAAGCGGCUCUCUGGCUUGUAACUGACGCCGAGGCUCGAAAGCGUGGGGAGCAAACAGGAUUAGAUACCCGCGUAGUCCCUGUCUCUUAUACA